rnacentral:rRNA from 1 species
UACAGAGGUCUCAAGCGUUUUUCGGCUUCAUUGGGCGUAAAGGGUGCGUAGGCGGCGCGGUAAGUCGGGUGUGAAAUCUCGGAGCUUAACUCCGAAACUGCAUUCGAUACUGCCGUGCUUGAGGACUGGAGAGGAGACUGGAAUUUACGGUGUAGCGGUGAAAUGCGUAGAUAUCGUAAGGAAGACCAGUGGCGAAGGCGGGUCUCUGGACAGUUCCUGACGCUGAGGCACGAAGGUCAGGGGAGCAAACGGG